CAGUGCGUGAUAGGCGCGCGAUUGGAGGAGUGGGGGUGCGUGGCUGCGGCUGGGCGUGCCGUGUGGAGAGAGUCAACAGUGCCGCUGUAAACUCGCUGAACUCACAGUCCGGAACUGGGCGAAAGUUCGCAGCCUUUAGGAGCCGUGUAAGAGUUAAAAUAGUGUUUGUGUGUCAGGUCAGUCUAAACACGUAAGGGCUGCACACACUGCACCGGGAGCCGAAUUAGAACCGCAGACACGAAGAAGCAAGAACACGAAUGCAUUUAUGCUUACAUCCAGUCGAAUGUUAAAUUAAUAAUUUCAAUGGUGAUUAAUCCUUAAGCAAUGCAUAACUUCAAUAAUAAUAAUAAAAAAAACUCUUUAAUUUUAAAUAAUGAUAAAAUGGUUAACAACCAUGCAUUUUUAAGCUUAGCCUACUCUUAAAGGCAAACUAUGUGCUGUUUUAAAUUUUUAUUGACAUUUGACACAUUCCUGCAGGGUCUAAAGGGGUCAUCUUUGUUUUAUGGUUUUCUUUUACAUGACACCAAAAGUAGUUUUCUGCUCUUUUAGCUUUUUAAAGUAUUUUUCACAGUCUCCAGUUAUCUUUUUAAUGUAUUUUGAACAACUUAAAUAAUUUUUUAAAAAUAUACUUUUAACAUGACUGCACACAAAUGUGAAAGUGAAAACAUGAACAAUGAAUUUCCAUGAAUUUCCAGAUGCUUAUCAUGUCUAAACAUGAACACGAAGAUACAUAACAUUUUUGUAGAGACUGUCCUUUGAAAAAAAAUUAUUGAAAAAUUGAAAAACUAAUGCAAUUUUAUUAAUUCUGUCUUUAUAAAAUUUUCUUGCAGCAUAGCAUACAAUUUGUCCUGUUGAAAUGUAAUAGAUUGUUUUCAAAUCACAACAUUUUUGGCCCAGAAUAGUUUAGUGUUUACAAUCUAUAUAGUUUGCAUAAUAUGCAAUGAAAUUUAAACAUAAAAAUAAGCCACAACUCUUAAUGCAAUCAGCUGUGUUAAUGCAAUAUAGACUUACCUCAAUCUCUGGUCUGAUUUGAACCCAGUUAAGGGCCUUUAAAAAAACAAUAAUUCUUGAAGUUGUGAGGUGGAUGUAACCAUCUCUGUUUAUGAUAAUGUGCUGAAAAUUCGCCUGUCUUGUCUGAAUUUAGUAUUUUUUUUAGUCACACCCUCUCAGUGAGGACGGGGUGACAGUAACUCAUUUGUAGACAUUCAGAAGCAGUGACAUUUAAGGAAGUCGAUGUUAAAUGAAGUCAUCCUGAAAAAUGUCAGGAUGUUCUGAUCACAGUCCCUGCAGGUGAUAGACGAUGCUGUAAAAGUGCUUUAUGAGACUAUUCUUUGAAAGGAAAAUCUGUUCAGGGAACGUCUUUUUUCAGUCCCUGCUACAAAUACACACUGAUACCGACAGACUGAGCAUGAACACUGUCAGACAUCCAAGUAUUUUAUCUUAACCAUUUAUCAGUCAUUUUACUUUACCAGGGAAUCAUUUGAAAACUUACAUUAUGCAUGAGUCUUUGAAGAGAAUUACCCUAAAAUGGGAGAUAUGAAUGAAAAAAAUAUGAUAUAGUGAUUUUAUUACCCCUAAAUUACAUGAUUAAAGUAUGAAAUAUUUCAAAUGGUGAACCAGCAUGAAGGUGUUUGGAGACUAUUUUCAGAACAGUUGAAUAGUGACAGCAUUUUGUGACUGAAGAUUAAUAAAUUGUUUAUCACAUAAAUAUAUGGUAAUAAAACAUGUAUAGACAUAAAACAUGUAUAGAUAUAUCCUUAAGAUAAAAUAAAAUGUAUAUCUUUAAACAAAAUGUUAAUCUUUGAACAUAAUAAUAUUUCAAAUAUAAGUUUAUACUGUAUAGCAUUAUCAAUAAUUAAAAAAAAUCUGUAUUGUGCCCCAUAAGAAAGUUGAAGUACCUUGCUCAGACAGGAACAAAAAUAUCCAAUCUUUUAAUUUAUUAAUUGUUCAUUUUAAUCAUUUUCGAUUUAGUUUAUUAGGCUAAGACAUUUGAUGGGACAAAAACAAGAAAAUGUGCUGCAAAGUUAUGUGUCAUGCCUGUUAAAUAAAUAACAGGCUGUAUGAUUUCCAAUUCUUUGAGCACUAAUAUUUUAAUUUAAUAUUUUCAUUUUUAUAAAAAAAAAAAAAAUACUGAUUUGCCUAAUUUUUAAGUUUGCAUCAUUAUCAAAAUCAUCUGUGAUUUUGUUACUUUCUUGUUUAAUUCUGUGAAGCUGCUUUGAAACAAUCUCUAUUAAAGGUAAAAAGAUCCUCUUCAGCUCUCCAUAGGAUGAAAGGCCACAUGUCAGUUUGUCUGCUGGUGUGCACUUAUGAAAGCAGCAGAACGGCCGAGUGCAUCACGUAAGCUCAGGCGGUCCGUGCUGUAGUGAUGAUCAUGUUCUGCCAACAGCAGUACGGUGAGCGGCGUGUGGGAAGUGUAGGAGUUAUGUUAGGAGCAUGAGGCAUGUUAGUGAUAUAAGUGGGCCAGACUGAGAAAGAAGGGAAGGAAACUAGAGGAAAGGUUAUGCUAUUCACAUCACCCCUUCCCAAACCUCCCAGCACCCUACACCAGGUCUAAUAUAAUGGCUUCAAUCCAGAGUUAUUUUAAAAGGUGUUGGAAAUACUACUCUGCUUGUGGUGUUGUUGUAUUAUGCACACAAUUCAGUCUUAUAUCAGUUGAAACUUUCAUUGUACAGCAAUGCAAUAACAUUUUUACUAUAUUUUCUAUACUGCAGGCUACACAACACUACUUCAAUCUUUUUUCUGAAGACCUAAAGUAAGGUACCUACAUUGUAAUCAGCUGUCAUUAAAAGGUAUCGGCCACAUGUGUGUCUGUUUGUGUUGUGUGUGUGUGUGUGUGUGUGUGUGUUGGCAGCACUUAUUGGCAAUUCAGACGCACGUAGAUUUCAACAACAGGCUGAUCAACAGAAACUCCUCGCUUCACUGCAGUGGCUGACUCAUGGAGAUCCAGCAAGGCCUCUGCUGCUUCUGCGUGUCUAUGUUGAUCAUCUCUGGACUUCAUCCUCUCCAUUCGUUUAAGCGAUGCUUCUGGCAUGGGGCUACAUUUCUGAUAACCGAGGUUAACUGUAGGAGCCCAGUCUACAUUUAAAGCACUACGGCAGCCUUAAGAGAACAGUACAGUAGCAAUAAUCCUGUAAAGACUUGCUAAUGUAAUAUAUUUCUGUUAAAUUACAGGAGUAAGAUUCAUUUUUAAUGUCUAUAAGUAUGGAAAAGCUAACUUUAUAUAAACAUAGUAUAUUUAAGUUAUAACUUACCUCUGACAAAGUGGUCACUAUGUGCAAAGAAACUAUAAAAAAAUGAUUGGAAUUAUGAAACGAGUAACAUGUCAACAGGGGGGAAAACAUUAAUUAUUAUCAAUGUGAAAACCGUUAUGCUGUUUAAUAUUUCAAUGGAAACUGAUAAUUAUUUAUAAUUAUUAUUAUUUCUUUUUUUGAUGUCACUUUUGAUCAAUUACAUGCAUCCUUGCUGAAUAAAAGUAUUAAUUUAUUUUGAUAAAUAAAUAAAUACACCCAAUCCUUUGAA